rnacentral:rRNA from 1 species
UACGAAGGGGGGCUAGCGUUGCUCGGAAUCACUGGGCGUAAAGGGCGCGUAGGCGGAUCUUUAAGUCGGGGGUGAAAGCCUGAGGCUCAACCUCAGAAUUGCCUUCGAUACUGGAGAUCUUGAGACCGGAAGAGGUAAGUGGAACUGCGAGUGUAGAGGUGAAAUUCGUAGAUAUUCGCAAGAACACCAGUGGCGAAGGCGGCUUGACUGGUCCGGUUCUGACGCUGAGGCGCGAAAGCGUGGGGAGCAAACAGG